rnacentral:rRNA from 1 species
GACGAACGCUGGCGGCGUGCUUAACACAUGCAAGUCGAACGGAAAGGCCUCUUUCGGGGGGUACUCGCGUGGCGAACGGGUGAGUAACACGUGAGUAACCUGCCCUUGACUUUGGGAUAACUUCAGGAAACUGGGGCUAAUACCGGAUAGGAGCUCCUGCUGCAUGGAGGGGGUUGGAAAGUUUCGGCGGUUGGGGGUGGACUCGCGGCUUAUCAGCUUGUUGGUGGGGUAGUGGCUUACCAAGGCUUUGACGAGUAGCCGGCCUGAGAGGGUGACGGGCAACACUGGAACUGAGACAAGGACCAGAGUCCGACGUGAGGCAGCAGUAGGGAAUCUUCCGCAAUGGGCGAAAGCUUGACGGAGCAACGGGGCGUGAGUGAUGAAGGGAUUCGGAUCGUAAAAGGCUGUUAUGAGGGAAGAAAAAAUGUGUAAGUAAAUAUGCACGUCGUGACGGUAGCUAAUCAGAAAGCAACGGCUAACUACGUG